GGGGUGAUUAGUGUCAUAGAGAGGGAGGGAGUGACUAGUGACAGAGUGAGGGAGGGAAGGGGUGACUAGUGACAGAGUGAGGGAGGUGAUGAUUAGUGACAGAGGGAGGGAUGGGGUGACUAGUGACAGUCACCCCCUCCUUCACUCUGUUACUGUGUCACCCCCUCCCUCACUCUGUCACCGUGUCACCCCCUUCCUCACUGUCACUAGUCACCCCUUCCUUCCCUCACUCUGCCACUAGUCACCCCUUCCCUCACUCUGUCACCUGUCACCCCUUCACUCUAGUGA